rnacentral:misc_RNA from 1 species
GAUGAAGAACGUAGCGAAAUGCGAUAAGUAAUGUGAAUUGCAGAAUUCAGUGAAUCAUCGAAUAUUUGAACGCAUCUUGCGCUCCUUGGUAUUCCUUGGAGCAUGCCUGUUUGAGUAUCAUGAGCAAAUCUCAAAUUCAAUUCCUUUUGUUGAUUCAAUUGGUUUUGCUUUGGACUUGGAGGCCUUGCAGAUUUCACAGUCUGCUCCUCUUAAAUGCAUUAGCUGGAUCUCAGUAAUUAUGCUUGGUUCCACUCGGCGUGAUAAGUAUCACUCGCUGAGGACACUGUUAAAAAGGUGGCCAGGAAAAUACUGAUUGAACCGCUUCUAACGGUCUAUUAAGUUAGACAAUUACCCUUAAGUUUGAUCUCAAAUCAGGUAGGACUACCCGCUGAACUUAAGCAUAUCAAUAAGCGGAGGA